GACGGAGGAUGCAAGUGUUAUCCGGAAUUAUUGGGCGUAAAGCGCACGUAGGCGGGCUUUCAAGUCGGAUGUGAAAUCCCUCGGCUUAACCGAGGACGUGCACUCGAUACUGGAAGCCUUGAGUACCAAAGAGGAUCGCGGAAUUCCCGGUGUAGAGGUGAAAUUCGUAGAUAUCGGGAGGAACACCAGUGGCGAAGGCGGCGAUCUGGGUGGAUACUGACGCUGAGGUGCGAAAGCGUGGGGAGCAAACAGG
rnacentral:rRNA from 1 species